rnacentral:sRNA from 1 species
UCACUGCUCCCUCCCUCGGCCGAGUGCCC